CCUACGGGUGGCAGCAGUGGGGAAUAUUGCACAAUGGGGGAAACCCUGAUGCAGCAACGCCGCGUGAAGGAAGACGGUUUUCGGAUUGUAAACUUCUGUUCUUAGUGAAGAAGAAUGACGGUAGCUAAGGAGCAAGCCACGGCUAACUACGUGCCAGCAGCCGCGGUAAUACGUAGGUGGCAAGCGUUAUCCGGAAUUAUUGGGCGUAAAGGGUGCGUAGAUGGCAUAGUAAGUCUUUUGUAAAAAUGCUGGGCUCAACCCAGUAGGGCAAAAGAUACUGCAAAGCUAGAGUAUGACAGAGGCAAGUGGAACUACAUGUGUAGCGGUAAAAUGCGUAAAUAUAUGUAAGAACACCAGUGGCGAAGGCGGCUUGCUGGGUCGAUACUGACAUUGAGGCACGAAAGCGUGGGGAGCAAACAGGAUUAGAUACCCGUGUAGUC
rnacentral:rRNA from 1 species